rnacentral:rRNA from 1 species
AUGAACGCUGGCGGCGUGCCUAAUACAUGCAAGUCGAGCGAACGGACGAGAAGCUUGCUUCUCUGAUGUUAGCGGCGGACGGGUGAGUAACACGUGGAUAACCUACCUAUAAGACUGGGAUAACUUCGGGAAACCGGAGCUAAUACCGGAUAAUAUUUUGAACCGCAUGGUUCAAAAGUGAAAGACGGUCUUGCUGUCACCUAUAGAUGGAUCCGCGCUGCAUUAGCUAGUUGGUAAGGUAACGGCUUACCAAGGCAACGAUGCAUAGCCGACCUGAGAGGGUGAUCGGCCACACUGGAACUGAGACACGGUCCAGACUCCUACGGGAGGCAGCAGUAGGGAAUCUUCCGCAAUGGGCGAAAGCCUGACGGAGCAACGCCGCGUGAGUGAUGAAGGUCUUCGGAUCGUAAAACUCUGUUAUUAGGGAAGAACAUAUGUGUAAGUAACUGUGCACAUCUUGACGGUACCUAAUCAGAAAGCCACGGCUAACUACGUG